rnacentral:rRNA from 1 species
UUUCCGCUUGAUCCUGCCGGACCCGACUGCUAUCAGAGUGAGAUUAAGCCAUGCGAGUCAACGUAGCAAUACGUGGCAUACGGCUCAGUAACACGUAGUCAACAUAACCAAAGGACGUGGAUAAACUCGGGAAACUGAGGCUAAACCGCGAUAGACCAAGAUACCUGGAAUGGUUUUUGAUCAAAAUCUAUAUGGCCUUUGGAUUGGACUGCGUCCGAUCAGGCUGUUGGUGAGGUAAUGGCCCACCAAACCUAUAACCGGUACGGGCUCUGAGAGGAGGAGCCCGGAGAUGGGUACUGAGAAAAGGACCCAGGCCCUAUGGGGCGCAGCAGGCGCGAAACCUCUGCAAUAGGCGAAAGCCUGACAGGGUUACUCUGAGUGACUCUCGCUAAGAAAGUCUUUUGACACCUCUAAAAACGGUGUAGAAUAAGGGGUGGGCAAGUCUGGUGUCAGCCGCCGCGGUAAUACCAGCACCCCGAGUGGUCGGAACGAUUAUUGGGCCUAAAGCAUCCGUAGCCGGCCUUACAAGUCCUCCGCUAAAUCCAACUGCUUAACAGAUGGGCUGCGGAGGAUACUAUAAGACUAGGAGGCAGGAGAGGCAAGCGGUACUCAGUGGGUAGGGGUAAAAUCCGUUGAUCCAUUGAAGACCACCAGUGGCGAAGGCGGCUUGCCAGAAUGCGCUCGACGGUGAGGGAUGAAAGCUGGGGGAGCAAACCGGAUUAGAUACCCGGGUAGUCCCAGCUGUAAACGAUGCAGACUCGGUGAUGGACCAGCUUAAUGCUAGUCCAGUGCCGCAGGGAAGCCGUUAAGUCUGCCGCCUGGGUAGUACGGUCGCAAGACUGAAACUUAAAGGAAUUGGCGGGGGAGCACCACAAGGGGUGAAGCCUGCGGUUCAAUUGGAUUCAACGCCGGA